rnacentral:misc_RNA from 1 species
AUAAAGCAGCAAGGACUUGAUAUCACCCCCCGCAUUCUCAUAAUUACUCGACUUCUUCCUGAUGCAGUAGGAACCACUUGUGGUCAACGUCUGGAAAAAGUAUUUGGAACAGAGCAUUCAGAUAUUCUUCGAGUUCCUUUUAGAACUGAGAAGGGAAUUGUUCGUAAAUGGAUCUCACGAUUUGAAGUGUGGCCCUAUCUAGAGACUUACACUGAGGAUGUUGCCACUGAAAUCGGUAAGGAGUUGCAGGGCAAGCCUGAUCUGAUCAUUGGAAAUUACAG